rnacentral:rRNA from 1 species
GACGAACGCUGGCGGCGUGCCUAAUACAUGCAAGUUGAGCGCUGAAGGUUGGUACUUGUCCCAACUGGCUGAGCAGCGAACGGGUGAGUAACGCGUGGGGAAUCUGCCUUUGAGCGGGGGACAACAUUUGGAAACGAAUGCUAAUACCGCAUAAAAACUUUAAACACAAGUUUUAAGUUUGAAAGAUGCAAUUGCAUCACUCAAAGAUGAUCCCGCGUUGUAUUAGCUAGUUGGUGAGGUAAAGGCUCACCAAGGCGAGGAUACAUAGCCGACCUGAGAGGAUGAUCGGCCACAUUGGGACUGAGACACGGCCCAAACUCCUACGGGAGGCAGCAGUAGGGAAUCUUCGGCAAUGGACGAAAGUCUGACCGAGCAACGCCGCGUGAGUGAAGAAGGUUUUCGGAUCGUAAAACUCUGUUGGUAGAGAAGAACGUUGGUGAGAGUGGAAAGCUCAUCAAGUGACGGUAACUACCCAGAAAGGGACGGCUAACUACGUG